GGCGAACGCUGGCGGCGUGCUUAACACAUGCAAGUCGAGCGGUAAGGCCCUUUCGGGGGUACGACGAGCGGCGAACGGGUGAGUAACACGUGGGUGACCUGCCCUCAGCUCUGGGAUAAGCCUGGGAAACCGGGUCUAAUACUGGAUAUGACUCCAUGACGCAUGUUGUGGGGUGGAAAGCCUUGUGCGGCUGAGGAUGGGCCCGCGGCCUAUCAGCUUGUUGGUGGGGUGAGGCCUACCAAGGCGACGACGGGUAGCCGGCCUGAGAGGGCGACCGGCCACACUGGGACUGAGACACGGCCCAGACUCCUACGGGAGGCAGCAGUGGGGAAUCUUGCGCAAUGGGCGAAAGCCUGACGCAGCGACGCCGCGUGA
rnacentral:rRNA from 1 species